GCCAUUGGCGGCGGGCUGACAAUGCAGUCGACGUGAAAUGUAGCAAUACAGAGUAAAGUGGCGUACGGGUGAGUAACACGUGGAUAAUCUACCAAAGUGCCUGGAAUAACCGGCCGAAAGGCUGGCUAAUACUGGAUAGUUCAAGCGACCUGUAAGGGGUUGAUUGGGAAAGGGAGCCUGCAAGGGCCUUCACACUUUGAUGAGUCCGCGUCUGAUUAGCUAGUUGGUGGGGUAAAGGCUCACCAAGGCAGAGAUCAGUAGCUGGUCUGAGAGGAUGAUCAGCCACACUGGAACUGAAACACGGUCCAGACUCCUACGGGAGGCAGCAGUGGGGAAUCUUGCGCAAUGGACGAAAGUCUGACGCAGCCACGCCGCGUGAGUGAAGAAGGCCUUCGGGUUGUAAAGCUCUGUCAAUGGGGACAAAAACCAUUAUGGUUAAUAGCCAUAGUGCUUGAUGGUACCCAUGGAGGAAGCACCGGCUAACUUCGUGCCAGCAGCCGCGGUAAUACGAAGGGUGCAAGCGUUGCUCGGAAUUAUUGGGCGUAAAGGGUAGGUAGGUGGUCAUACAAGUCUGGAGUGAAAUCCCCGAGCUUAACUUGGGACGUGCUUUGGAAACUGUAUGACUAGAGUGCUAGAGAGGUUCGUGGAAUUCCCGGUGUAGCGGUGAAAUGCGUAGAGAUCGGGAGGAACACCAGAGGCGAAGGCGAUGAACUGGAUAGCAACUGACACUCAACUACGAAAGCGUGGGUAGCAAACAGGAUUAGAUACUCUGGUAGUCCACGCUGUAAACGAUGGGUAUUAGAAUUGGUGGGAGUUGACCCCUGCCGAUUCGGAGCUAACGCGAUAAAUACCCCGCCUGGGGAGUACGGUCGCAAGACUAAAACUCAAAGGAAUUGACGG
rnacentral:rRNA from 1 species